GGGGAGGGGAAAAGGGAAUUUGGAAAUGGGAACAGGGGAAGGAGGGAGGAUCUUCCCUGCUUUUCCCAUUCCCAUUUUUCCCGUUGUUUUCCCGUUGUUUUCCCAUUGUUUUCCCAUUGUAUUUCCUGUUGUUUUUCCCAUUUUUCCCAUUAUUUUUCCCUUUGUUUUUCCCUUUGUUUUCCCCAUUGUUUCCCCAUUGUUUUCCCCUUGUUUUUCCCAUUGUUUUCCCAUUGUUUUCCCAUUGUUUUCCUGUUGUUUUCCCAUUGUUUUCCCGUUGUUUUCCCAUUGUUUUCCCAUUGUUUUUCCCAUUUUUCCCGUUGUUUUUCCCAUUGUUUUUCCCAUUUUUCCCCAUUGUUUUCCCCAUUGUUUUUCCCCAUUUUUCCCAUUGUUUUUCCCCUUGUUUUUCCCAUUUUUCCCAUUUUUCCCAUUGUUUUUCCCCUUGUUUUUCCCAUUGUUUUUCCCAUUUUUCCCCUUGUUUUUCCCGCUCCAGCUGAACCUGAACUCCGUCCGGCGCUGUCUCCUCAUCUCCUACGACGCCGAUUCCCAGCUCCUGGAAUUCCGGCACUAGUGAGAGCCAAAUUUUUUCCCAAAUUCCCGGUUUUUUCCCCAAAUUCCUGGGUUUUUUCCCAAAUUCCCAUUUUUCCCCCCAAAUUCCCAUUUUUUUCCCCAAAUUCCCAUUUUUUUUCCCCCCCAAAUUCCCAUUUUUUCCCCCAAAUUCCUGGGUUUUUUCCCCAAAUUCUUGGGUUUUUUCCCCAAAUUCCCAUUUUUUCCCCCAAAUUCCCAUUUUUUCUCCCCCAAAUUCCCAUUUUUUUCCCCAAAUUCCCAUUUUUUCCCCCAAAUUCCCAUUUUUUUCCCCAAAUUCCCAUUUUUUCCCCCAAAUUCCCAUUUUUUUUUCCCCCCAAAUUCCCAUUUUUUUCCCCCAAAUUCCCAUUUUUUUCCCCAAAUUCCCAUUUUUUCCCAAAUUCCCAUUUUUUUUUCCCCCAAAUUCCCGUUUUUUUCCCAAAUUCCCGUUUUUUUCCCAAAUUCCCAUUUUUUUCCCCCAAAUUCCCAUUUUUUUCCCCAAAUUCCCAUUUUUUCCCAAAUUCCCAUUUUUCCCCCCAAUCCAGCAGUGUCCAGGUGGUGCCCGUGGGGCUCAGCCGGGGGAUCCGGAAAAUUCUCCAGGAGAAAUUCCCAGACCUGGGCAGGAUGGACGACGUCAGCGAGCUCCUGACGGGGUACGGGGACACCUGGGGACACCUGGGGACACCUGGGGACACCUGGGGACACCUGGGGAUACCUGGGGACACCAAAAACACACCUGGGGACACCUGAGGACACACCUGGGGACACCUGGGGACACCUGGGGACACCUGGGGACAUCUGGGGACAUCUGGGGACAUCUGGGGACACCUGGGGACACCUGGGACAGCUGGGACACACCUGGGGACACCUGGGGACAUCUGGGGAUGCUGUCCCUA
rnacentral:lncRNA from 1 species